AGAGACAGCAGCAGCCGCGGGAAUACGUAGGUCCCGAGCGUUGUCCGGAUUUAUUGGGCGUAAAGCGAGCGCAGGCGGUUAGAUAAGUCUGAAGUUAAAGGCUGUGGCUUAACCAUAGUACGCUUUGGAAACUGUUUAACUUGAGUGCAAGAGGGGAGAGUGGAAUUCCAUGUGUAGCGGUGAAAUGCGUAGAUAUAUGGAGGAACACCGGUGGCGAAAGCGGCUCUCUGGCUUGUAACUGACGCUGAGGCUCGAAAGCGUGGGGAGCAAACAGGAUUAGAUACCCCCGUAGUCCCUGUCUCUUAUACC
rnacentral:rRNA from 1 species